rnacentral:rRNA from 1 species
UAUUGCGCAAUGGGCGAAAGCCUGACGCAGCGACGCCGCGUGAGGGAUGAAGGUUCUCGGAUCGUAAACCUCUGUCAGGGGGGAAGAAACCCCCUCGUGUGACUAAUGCGAGGGCUUGACGGUACCCCCAAAGGAAGCACCGGCUAACUCCGUGCCAGCAGCCGCGGUAAUACGGAGGGUGCAAGCGUUAAUCGGAAUCACUGCGCGUAAAGCGCACGGAGGCGGCUUGGUAAGUCAGGGGUGAAAUCCCACAGCCCAGCUGUGGAACUGCCUUUGAUACUGCCAGGCUUGAGUACCGGAGAGGGUGGCGGAAUUCCAGGUGUAGGAGUGAAAUCCGUAGAUAUCUGGAGAAACACCGGCGGCGAAGGCGGCCACCUGGACGGUAACUGACGCUGAGGUGCGAAAGCGUGGGUAGCAAACAGG